rnacentral:rRNA from 1 species
GACGAACGCUGGCGGCGUGCUUAACACAUGCAAGUCGAACGGAAAGGCCCUGCUUUUGUGGGGUGCUCGAGUGGCGAACGGGUGAGUAACACGUGAGUAACCUGCCCUUGACUUUGGGAUAACUUCAGGAAACUGGGGCUAAUACCGGAUAGGAGCUCCUGCUGCAUGGUGGGGGUUGGAAAGUUUCGGCGGUUGGGGAUGGACUCGCGGCUUAUCAGCUUGUUGGUGGGGUAGUGGCUUACCAAGGCUUUGACGGGUAGCCGGCCUGAGAGGGUGACCGGCCACAUUGGGACUGGGAUGCGGCCCAGACUCCUACGGGAGGCAGCAGUGGGGAAUAUUGCACAAUGGGCGGAAGCCUGAUGCAGCAACGCCGCGUGCGGGAUGACGGCAUUCGGGUUGUAAACCGCUUUCGCCUGUGACGAAGCGUGAGUGACGGUAAUGGGUAAAGAAGCACCGGCUAACUACGUG